rnacentral:misc_RNA from 1 species
AAUUCUCAACCUUCUCUAGCUUUCAAAAGCUCGAUUAGGCUUGGACCUUGGAAGCUUGCUGGCUCUUAAUAGAGUCGGCUCUUCUUAAAUGUAUUAGCGAGAUUGAUUGCUGAAUCGUCUACGAUAUGAUAAUUAUCUAUAUCAUUGACGGAACAGUGUGUUCCCUUUGUGGGAACUAUAUCUAGCUUUCUAACUGUCUUUUCAAGACAAUAUAAUGAAUC